rnacentral:rRNA from 1 species
GCUACUAUGCCAGCUGGUGGAUAGCUCGGCUCGGGUGCCGACGAAGGACGUGCCAAGCUGCGAUAAGCUCAGGGGAGCCGCACGGAGGUGAAGAACCUGAGAUUUCCGAAUGGGAACUCCUCAACGCAAUUGCUUCGCGCAAUGGGGAACGCCGAGAACUGAAACAUCUCAGUAUCGGCAGGAAGAGAAAACGAAUGUGAUGUCGUUAGUAACCGCGAGUGAACGCGAUACAGUCCAAACCGAAGCCUUCACGGGCAAUGUGGUGUACGGGCUGGCACUCAUCGACCGACCGUCUUCGAGAAGUCUCCUGGAACGGAGCGUGAUACAGGGUGACAACCCCGUAUCGAAGACCACUACGUCGUGCGCCAGUACCAGAGUAGCGGGGGUUGGGAAAUUCCUCCGUGAAUGUGGCAGGCAUCUACUGUCAAGACUAAAAUACUACCCGAGACCGAUAGUGAACAAGUUAAGCGUGAGCGAACGCUGAAAA